rnacentral:rRNA from 1 species
UACGGGGGGGGCAAGCGUUGUUCGGAAUUACUGGGCGUAAAGGGCUCGUAGGCGGCCAACUAAGUCCGACGUGAAAUCCCCAGGCUUAACCUGGGAACUGCGUCGGAUACUGGAUGGCUUGAAUUCGGGAGAGGGAUGCAGAAUUCCAGGUGUAGCGGUGAAAUGCGUAGAGAUGGGGGAGAACACUCGUGGCGAAGGCGGCCAGCUAGACCAGUUCUGACACUGAGGCGCGACAGCGUGGGGAGCAAACAGG